AUUGCAGCAUAUUGAUGCAAUUGUCAUAUCUUUCUACUUAAAUUAUGAAGCACUUAUGGUUUAGUUGUAACGACUGAUUACUAUAUGUAUUUUGGAUUAAAAAAAAAAAAACAAUACCUGGAUGGGCAUAGUUUGUUGGUACAUUAACUGAUGACACUUUCAUGUCUUUACCAAAAAACAUUGAAUAUUAAAAUGGAAAAAAAAGGACAUUUCUUUUUGGUCACUGAAGGAUUGCAUGGACAAUGCAUCAUCCACUACACCAAUUUCUUCAGUCAGAAGAAUCUACCAUCUACCAGUGUGUAUUUCCUUUACAAUUCAAAGUGUAAUUUUGUGCAAGUGAAUUGAAGUAUAUAAAUAUAUAUUUGUUUUCAUUUACUCCUUUACCCUCACCUCCCCCAUCUGAAAGAUUAUCAAGAACAAAAAAGAUUUAUUAAACUUUAUAGUUUAUCUGGGUAUGUUGGAUGCUUUGACAAUAAAUCGCUUUAUUUUCUGCAAACC